UUAUUAAAAAUGAAGAGUGUUGUAGUAAAGUUGCACUUCAAUAGCACAUCCUAUAUGCAAACACCAUCUGUUUGCAGGAUCUCUCUGCAAAACUCGAUUCAACAGUGGCUUCCUCUCCCCUUCCUUUGGCAAAGUUUCAGACCAAAAGGUCACUUGAAAUGUAGUAAUGCUACUUGGCACAUUCAUACGCUAUUUUCAUACCUAUAUUUCAAAGCAGUUUGCUUAGUCUGGUUAUUCCUAACCUAAGGAAGGGGGAGCACACCCAGAGAAAGGAACUCAACCAAGGCUGCACGUUGAAUCUGUGCUGGAAUAAAGAAGAAAAGCGGGGGCUUUGCCCCAGCCUGUGUGGUUAUCCAGCCCGUGGGAGGGAGCAGAGGCUGCACACCAGCUCCCCCUGCCCAAUGUGAUGGCUGUGCUGCAAGGCAUGGCUGCUUCCAGCUGUACCCCUCAGCCCUCACCAUAGACCUUUUUUGCUCCUGUCCACGCACGGACCCACAGCCCUCUAUGAAGGAGCCAAAACAGCACUUGGAGCAACACCAACAAGCUCCUGCAGUAUCAGGUUCAUCGCUCUCACUCAAGUGAUACCGUUACCACUCCCAGCAACCUCUCUCCUGUAUUAAUGGCAUCAAAUCCAUUGGUAAAGAAUGAGGAUAAGCAAAGUGGCAUUUCUACAGCCAGCUGGUUUCCAAACCUUUGGCAUUUCUUUAGGGAGGCACUGGCAAUACAACACCCCAUGCAACUCUACUUCAACUGCCCAAAGCAAGGCAGCAGCAAACCAAAGAACGUUGCAUCUUUCAGUUUUACAUGAUGGAAAUAGAUGCAUUUACGUGAGCAACAUCUGUACCAUUUUCUUUCCACCAGCCCAGACCGAACAAAGCAAUGAUCUGGAGCCUGCCUACAGCCCCCACACUGCACUAAUAAUAAGCGAAGCGGAUCACAAGUGUGACAUGAAUAAUUAUCUGUUUCCAAUCUGCUAUAUGCUGCAUGAAGGAAACAAACCGUGCAGGAAAUGUAAUGCUCCUGGUCAGGAUGCUCAGAACAAGAAUUCAGCAUCAGUAUCUGAAACGCAACUGAAGAGGAUUCAGUGUACACCCCACCUAACAACAGAACGCUUUUAUUCCACAGGUGGGGGCAGCCCCAGCAGAGCACAGAGCACCCUGGGACUGCUGAGCUGAGCCACGAUGCUCUGAGCUCUGCAGCGCAUCCAAAGGAUGAGGUGCCACCAUUGAGGGCUGCUGGGAGCUAUACAGAAAACACAGCCACCGUGUCACUCAGCUUGUGUACAACUUGGAUGUGAAUCUAUUUAGACAGCUGCCAGAGAAGUGGGGACUGAGGACAGAGGAGGACAUGGCAAGGAAGAGGACAAGAAGAGUAUCGAAAUGGUGAACAGUUAAACACACAGAACAGAAUGACUGCUUGCUGUAAUUAGAAGUAUUAUAACGAAUACACAGCACUGUUCAUCUAAGGUCUACUUAGUAUUCAUCUUGAAAUACAUUAAUGGAAGCCAGGCUCCAUACACAA